rnacentral:rRNA from 1 species
GACGAACGCUGGCGGCGUGCUUAACACAUGCAAGUCGAACGGAGUGGCGAACGGGUGAGUACCACGUGGGUGAUCUGCUUCGUACUCUGGGGUGAGCUUGGGUAACAGGGUUUCAUACAGGAUCGUGCAAGAUUAGAUCGCGGCCUAUCAGCUUGUUGGUGGGGUAUUGGCCUACCAAGGCGUCGACGGGUAGCCGGCCUGAGAUGGUGUACGGCGAUAUUGGGACUGAGAGACGGCCCAGGCUCCUACGGGUGGGAGAAGGGGGGAAGAUUGACGAAUGGGCGGAAGCAGGAUGCAGCGACGCUGCGGGGGGUAGUACGGCCUUCGGGUUGUAAACUCCUUUCGACAGGGACGCGGUACCUGUAUAAGAAGCACCGGCUAACUACGUGCCAGCCGCCGCGGUAAUUC